GGGCAUGUGGUGUAGUUGGUUAUCACGUUCGCUUCGCAUGCGAAAGGUGUCCGGUUCAAUUCCGGACAUGUCCA
rfam:Stereum hirsutum FP-91666 SS1 unplaced genomic scaffold STEHIscaffold_16, whole genome shotgun sequence.